rnacentral:misc_RNA from 1 species
GGGCGUCUGGAUGAUCUUCUGGAAAUGCGGCAGCGUGUACAUCCGCGGCGGAUUCGACGGCAGGCACUUGGCAUGCGGGUCGUCGGCGGAGUUCGCGUCGGAUCGCUGCUUGCGAAGCGCCGCGGCCCACGGCUGGAACGGCAGUGGCUCUUUCGACGUG